GGUGAACGCUGGCGGCGUGCUUAAGACAUGCAAGUCGAACGCAGUCUUCGGACUGAGUGGCGCACGGGUGAGUAACACGUAACUGACCUACCCCCAAGUCGCGAAUAACCAGCCGAAAGGAUGGCUAAUACGUGAUGUGAUGAUCCGCUGUGGCGGAUCAUUAAAGACUUGAUCGCUUGGGGAUGGGGUCGCGUUCCAUCAGCUAGUUGGUAAGGUAAAGGCUUACCAAGGCAACGACGGAUAGCCGGCCUGAGAGGGUGGCCGGCCACAGGGGCACUGAGACACGGGUCCCACUCCUACGGGAGGCAGCAGUUAGGAAUCUUCCACAAUGGGCGCAAGCCUGAUGGAGCGACUCCGCGUGAGGGAUGAAGGUUCUCGGAUCGUAAACCUCUGAGCCAACGACGAAAGACCCGACAAGGGAGAUGACGGUAGUUGGGUAAUAGCACCGGCUAACUCCGUGCCAGCCGCCGCCGUAAAAC
rnacentral:rRNA from 1 species